rnacentral:rRNA from 1 species
CGACGGUACGCGGGGCAACCUGGCGACGAGUGGCGAACGGGUGAGUAAUACAUCGGAACGUGCCCAGUAGUGGGGGAUAGCCCGGCGAAAGCCGGAUUAAUACCGCAUACGACCUACGGGUGAAAGCGGGGGAUCGCAAGACCUCGCGCUAUUGGAGCGGCCGAUGUCGGAUUAGCUAGUUGGUGGGGUAAAGGCCUACCAAGGCGACGAUCCGUAGCUGGUCUGAGAGGACGACCAGCCACACUGGGACUGAGACACGGCCCAGACUCCUACGGGAGGCAGCAGUGGGGAAUUUUGGACAAUGGGCGCAAGCCUGAUCCAGCCAUGCCGCGUGCGGGAAGAAGGCCUUCGGGUUGUAAACCGCUUUUGUCAGGGAAGAAACGGUCUGGGUUAAUACCUCGGACUAAUGACGGUACCUGAAGAAUAAGCACCGGCUAACUACGUGCCAGCAGCCGCGGUAAUACGUAGGGUGCAAGCGUUAAUCGGAAUUACUGGGCGUAAAGCGUGCGCAGGCGGCUUUGCAAGACAGAUGUGAAAUCCCUGGGCUCAACCUGGGAACUGCAUUUGUGACUGCAUCGCUCGAGUGCGGCAGAGGGGGAUGGAAUUCCGCGUGUAGCAGUGAAAUGCGUAGAUAUGCGGAGGAACACCGAUGGCGAACGCAAUCCCCUGGGCCUGCACUGACGCUCAUGCACGAAGCGUGGGGAGCAAACAGGAUUAGAUACCCUGUAGUCCACGCCCUAAACGAUGUCAACUGUUGUUGGACGCUUGCUGGUCAGUAACGAAGCUACGCGUGAAGUUGACCGCCUGGGGGAGUACGGCCGCAAGGUU